UAAUAUUAGUCAUGUCUAGAGGUUUUUCUGUAGACUCUUCUGGAGUUACCAUUUCCUCGUCAUGACCAUCUUGAAUCUUUGUUCCUUCUCAUACGAGGAUUCUUAUCUUUGGAACCGACUGGUCUACCACGCUUCAAGCGUGUUUUAGAUUCAUUGGCAACAAGAGGUUGUCCUGCUGGGACAUCAAUUUUAAUUGGAGCAUUAACAGCUGGUAUAUGUGACUUUGUUAC
rnacentral:lncRNA from 1 species